rnacentral:lncRNA from 1 species
UGAAGAAAGCUUUUGUAUCAGUUUCCUUUCGGUUUUGGGAUAAGGUGAGGCUUUUAAUUUCUUCUCUUCUGCCCACAAUUGAUAUUAUAUAUAUAUAUAUAUAUUACGAGUUCAAAUUGUUCAAGUCUUGAGUGUCGAUUUCUUGAUCAAGUCAUUAUGAAUUUGAAUAGUUUUAGUGUUUGCACCUGACUUCGAUCCUGUUUCAAAAAUAGUUUGAGUGUCGAUUUCUUUUUUUAUUUUAUGUUAAUUUUAAAGAAUUAAAUAACAUAUAUAAAAUUAAGUAAUUAUAAUUUUAAAAUAAUAAAAAUUUAUUAAAUUCACCUUAAAUUUAAUGAAAAAAAAUCACCUUAAAAUAUAGGAAAAUGUAUAUUGAAUUAUAUAAGGAUUGAGGAAUAUGAAAGAGUGUAAUUUGUACAAGUCCAUUAUACCCACAAGGCUAUAAGGCAGCCCAGGCCUUCUUUAGUAAAUCAGUCCACAUAUUAUAUUUAUUUUGAAACGAGGAUACCACCUUGAGUUAAUUUUAAUUUAGUAAAUCAUGUAUUAUUUGUAACUUGUACUAUAUUUAAGAUUAUGUUUAUAAGUUCUUUUCAAAAUUGUA